rnacentral:tRNA from 1 species
GGAGGCGUCGCAUAGAGGUUUAGUGCAUCGGUCUUGAAAACCGAAGUCCUGAAAGGGACCGUGAGUUCGAAUCUCACCGCCUCCGCCA